CCUACGGGAGGCAGCAGUGGGGAAUCUUGCGCAAUGGGCGAAAGCCUGACGCAGCCAUGCCGCGUGAAUGAUGAAGGUCUUAGGAUUGUAAAAUUCUUUCAGUAGGGACGAUAAUGACGGUACCUACAGAAGAAGCCCCGGCUAACUUCGUGCCAGCAGCCGCGGUAAUACGAAGGGGGCUAGCGUUGCUCGGAAUUACUGGGCGUAAAGGGAGCGUAGGCGGACAUUUAAGUCAGGGGUGAAAUCCCAGAGCUCAACUCUGGAACUGCCUUUGAUACUGGGUGUCUUGAGUGUGAUAGAGGUAUGUGGAACUCCGAGUGUAGAGGUGAAAUUCGUAGAUAUUCGGAAGAACACCAGUGGCGAAGGCGACAUACUGGAUCAUUACUGACGCUGAGGCUCGAAAGCGUGGGGAGCAAACAGGAUUAGAUACCCUGGUAGUCCACGCCGUAAACGAUGAUUGCUAGUUGUCGGGGUUAGUUUACGUUAACUCGGUUCGUACGGUCGAACGGCCUAAACGGCCUAACGUUAACGACUAAAGUCCCGAACCUUCCGGGGGACCGUUACGGGGGUACGGUACCGGUAACGGACUUAAAAACGUACUUAAAAACGGUAACUUAAAGUACGGAACGUUGGACGGACGUUGGACCGAAACGGCGACCGAACGACGGGAACGACGGGAGGGAG
rnacentral:rRNA from 1 species